GAUGAACGCUAGCGGCAGGCUUAACACAUGCAAGUCGAGGGGUAGAGGAAGCUUGCUUCCUUGAGACCGGCGCACGGGUGCGUAACGCGUAUACAAUCUACCUUUUACAGAGGGAUAGCCCAGAGAAAUUUGGAUUAAUACCUCAUAGUAUUUUCGGAUCGCAUGAUUUGAUUAUUAAAGUUCCAACGGUAAAAGAUGAGUAUGCGUCCCAUUAGCUAGAUGGUAAGGUAACGGCUUACCAUGGCAAUGAUGGGUAGGGGUCCUGAGAGGGAGAUCCCCCACACUGGUACUGAGACACGGACCAGACUCCUACGGGGAGGCAGCAGUGAGGAAUAUUGGACAAAUGGGCGCAAGCCUGAUCCAGCCAUGCCGCGUGCAGGAAUAAGGUCCUAUGGAUUGUAAACUGCUUUUAUACAGGAAGAAACACACCCUCGUGAGGGUACUUGACGGUACUGUAUGAAUAAGGACGCUAACUCCGUGCCAGCAGCCGCGU
rnacentral:rRNA from 1 species